UACGAAGGGGGCUAGCGUUGUUCGGAAUUACUGGGCGUAAAGCGAACGUAGGCGGUGUUCCAUGUCAGAGGUGAAAGCCUGGGGCUCAACUCCAGAAUUGCCUUUGAAACGGGAACGCUUGAGUCCGAGAGAGGAUGGCGGAAUUCCUAGUGUAGAGGUGAAAUUCGUAGAUAUUAGGAAGAACACCGGUGGCGAAGGCGGCCAUCUGGCUCGGUACUGACGCUCAGGUUCGAAAGCGUGGGGAG
rnacentral:rRNA from 1 species